UUUAGUUGUUCAUUGCCAGCAACUUGAGGUUGCCUGCGACCCUGAGGAUUUUGGAAACCUGGCAUCUCCUCUCCUUCAUUGUCCUAAGGAGAGCGUUGGCUGGAAUGGGAAGGAUUAUCUUGAAGCACAGGCAGCAAGGCUGUGAAGGGUACAGCAUGGAUGCAGGGAAUCUGUCUCUGUUUCCCCUGGUCUGCCUGUCUGCCUGCCUCCUAAUGUGCUUUUCGAAGGAUGGACUCUCAAAGAGGCUGUGCUGUCUGGGAGUGUGGAGAGAGCCAGUGUCAGUACCAGCAAACCUGGAAUGAAAGAACAGUAGAGAAUUAAAGUCUUCUUCUGGGUAAGGCCCAUCCUAAUCAAGCAUAGGAGAUGUGAAAAACAAACAAAAAAAAGGGCAUGGUUCAUAUCAAGACAGCAUCUCCCUUUGUC
rnacentral:lncRNA from 1 species